rnacentral:rRNA from 1 species
AGCGAACGCUGGCGGCAGGCCUAACACAUGCAAGUCGAACGAACUCUUCGGAGUUAGUGGCGGACGGGUGAGUAACACGUGGGAACGUGCCUUUUGGUUCGGAAUAACUCAGGGAAACUUGUGCUAAUACCGAAUGUGCCCUUCGGGGGAAAGAUUUAUCGCCAUUAGAGCGGCCCGCGUCUGAUUAGCUAGUUGGUGAGGUAAUGGCUCACCAAGGCUACGAUCAGUAGCUGGUCUGAGAGGAUGAUCAGCCACAUUGGGACUGAGACACGGCCCAAACUCCUACGGGAGGCAGCAGUGGGGAAUCUUGCGCAAUGGGCGAAGGCCUGACGCAGCCAUGCCGCGUGAAUGAUGAAGGUCUUAGGAUUGUAAAAUUCUUUCACCGGGGACGAUAAUGACGGUACCCGGAGAAGAAGCCCCGGCUAACUUCGUGCCAGCCGCCGCGGUAAUAC